GACUUCACGCGUGCUCCUGCGCCUGCUCGCGGCGGAUACUGACCGGCUACGUUCCCGCCAUAUAUUUAAGUUUCAUUUCCAGCGGCCACUGAGAGUUCCCCUUUUCGCGGCCUUUCUUCGAAGUCGAUUUAUUCUUUCCCGGACCGAAGAGCGGCAGAUAUGGAAGAUCCGCGUAGAAGGACGACGGCGCCACGCGCUAAGAAGCCGUCCGCGAAGCGCGCCCCGACGCAGCCCAGCAGGACCAGGGCCCACGCGGAAAGCUGCGGCCCGCAAAGGGGGGCUCGAUCGCGGCGGGCGGAGCGUGACGGGGACACCACGGAGAAGCCACGUGCCCCAGGGCCCCGAGUGCAUCCAGCAAGGGCCACUGAGCUCACCAAAGAUGCACAGCCCUCGGCCAUGGACGCGGCAGGAGCCACCGCGCGGCCUGCCGUCCGGGUGCCCCAGCAGCAGGCCAUCCUGGAUCCGGAGCUGCCCGCCGUACGGGAGCCCCAGCCGCCCGCGGAUCCCGAGGCGCGGAAAGUCGUAAGGGGACCUAGCCACAGAAGGGGCGCGCGCUCCACCGGGCAGCCCAGAGCGCCGCGAGGGUCCAGGAAGGAACCGGACAAGCUAAAGAAGGUGCUGGACAAAUUGAGAUUGAAACGCAAAGAUAUCUCGGAGGCGGCCGAGACGGUGAAUAAAGUUGUGGAACGCCUGCUGCGCAGAAUGCAGAAACGGGAGUCGGAGUUCAAAGGUGUGGAGCAGCUGAACACUGGCAGCUACUAUGAACAUGUGAAGAUUUCUGCUCCUAAUGAAUUUGAUGUUAUGUUUAAACUGGAAGUCCCCAGGAUUGAGCUACAAGAAUAUUAUGAAACAGGUGCUUUCUAUCUUGUGAAAUUCAAAAGAAUUCCACGAGGAAAUCCGCUGAGUCAUUUCUUAGAAGGGGAAGUAUUAUCAGCUACCAAGAUGCUGUCAAAGUUUAGGAAAAUCAUUAAAGAAGAAGUUAAAGAAAUCAAAGAGAAAAUGGAUCAACCCUUUCUUUGCUUCACUGUGUGUAAACAGAUAUAGAUGUCAGUGUGGAGAAGGAAAAACCAGGAAGCCCUGCUGUAACACUUCUUAUCAGGAACCCUGAAGAAAUCUCUGUGGAUAUAAUUCUGGCUUUGGAGUCAAAAGGCAGCUGGCCUAUUAGUACCAAAGAAGGACUACCUAUUCAAGGCUGGCUGGGCACAAAAGUGAGGACCAAUCUAAGACGAGAGCCGUUUUAUCUCGUACCCAAGAAUGCAAAGGAUGGAAAUAGUUUUCAAGGAGAGACCUGGCGCCUCUCUUUCUCUCACACUGAAAAGUACAUUUUGAAUAAUCACGGGAUAGAGAAAACAUGCUGUGAAUCUUCCGGAGCAAAAUGCUGCAGAAAAGAAUGUUUAAAAUUAAUGAAAUACCUUUUGGAACAGUUGAAAAAAGAGUUUCAAGAGCUGGAUGCAUUCUGUUCCUACCAUGUGAAAACUGCCAUCUUUCACAUGUGGACCCAGGACCCGCAGGACAGUCAGUGGGACCCCAGGAACCUCAGCUCCUGCUUCGAUAAGUUGUUAGCAUUCUUUCUUGAGUGCCUCAGGACAGAGAAACUGGAUCAUUAUUUUAUUCCAAAGUUCAAUCUAUUCUCUCAAGAACUAAUUGACCGAAAAAGUAAAGAAUUUCUAUCGAAGAAAAUUGAAUAUGAAAGAAAUAAUGGGUUUCCAAUUUUUGACAAGCUUUGAAACUGUAUUUGUGUUAUAUGUUAUAAUGUGUGUCUGUGGGGUUUUAGGUCAGAUGUCGAUUGAUGCCAGGCGUCUUCUUCAGUCAUACUUCACUUUUGGGGGUGGUGGGAAGAGUGGUGAUUUCAAGACAUGGUUUCUGUGUAGUCCUGGCUGUCUUGUAACUCCCUCUGUAGACCAGGCUGGUCUUGAACAAAGAGAUCUGCCUGCUUCUGCCAUUGGAAUGCAGGGAUUAAAGGCCUAUGCCACCAUUAGGUGGCACACUUCACUUUUUUGAGCUCAGGGAGGUGUCCGGGCUGAUUAGCCAGUGAACUCCUGGGAUUCAGCUGCCUCUGCUGCCCCAACUCUGGGAUGACAGAUGGACAUCACCUAUUCAGCUUUUACAUUGUUGCUAGCGGUCUCAACUCAAGUCCUCACGCUUGCAAAGCAAGUACUAUAGUGACUGAGCCAUCUUCCCAGCCUGACAUUGCCUUCUGAAAUCAAAUUGGGUUAAAGUGAUGUAAGUCACUUGCCUGUAGUUUCAGUACUUGAGAACUUUUCUUUGUUUGGGUUUUACUGCUAUGAACAGACACCAUGACCAAGGCAACUUUUAUAAGGGCCAGCAUUUCAUUGAGGCUGGUUUAUAGGUUCGGAGAUUUAGUCUGUUGUCAUCAUAGCAGGAAGCGUGGCAGCAUCCAGGAGGGCAGAGCACUGGAGAAGUAGCUGAGAGUUCUACAUCUUCAUCCAAAGGAAGCGGGUAGCAGACUGCCACCCACAUGGCCAAGAGGAGAGUCUUAAAAGCCCACCUCUAUGGCGGUGACACACUUCCUCCAACAGUGUUACACCUACUCCGAUAAAGCCACUCGUCCUCGUAGUGCCACACCCUGCGCGGAGCAUAUUCAAACCACCAUGGAAGUGGAGGCAGAAAAAUAGUCCAGUGUGGUUCUUAGCUAUAUUUUUAGUUCAGGCAUAGCCUGAGGUACACGAAACCUGCUUAAAACAAAGUUCAAUCGUUAACAGCACUUAUUGCUCUUCCGGAGGGCCUGGGUUGGUUCCCAGCAUCCAGUGGCAGGCACAACUGUAACUCUGGUUCCAGGGAAUCUAGUUUGACCACGACACACACACACACACACUGACACUAUUUUUUAAGAGCACAAAAAGAAAAUGAAAUUAUAAUCUGACCCCAUAAUAUGAUAAGUGUGCUAGCACUUCAUUAUAAUCCUGGCACUUGAGAAGCUGAGAUGUGACGGUUGCCAUGAAUGCAAGGCCAGCCUGGGAUAUAAAAUACAAUCUUGUUUAAAAAAACAAAACAAAACACCAAGAGCCAAAAGCCGUCCCUAGGAGUCACUGUGAAUCCCUAUGAGUUUGGCCUGGGUCUGCUCACCUGUCCUGACUCAAAAGGGUACAUUUUCUUUUUCUAUUUUUCCUCUUUAGGAUUGUCAGAAUUUACGGAGGAUUUUUUUUUGGUAUGUUGUGCUUCUUGACGCUCUCAUGAAAUCUGCCCCCCUCCCCAACUCCUUGACACACACCCCAUAUGGCUAGUGUGUCUAUUAAAUGGCUGAUGUUCUCUUUGAGUACAAAAUAAGAACCCCCAAAAUGUGAAUAAAAUAAUUCAAAAAAAAAAAAAAAAAAAAAAAGCUGGGCAGCAUGCCUUUAAUCCCAGCACUUGGGAGGCAGAGGCAGGAGGAUUUCUGAGUUCGAGGCCACCCUGGUCUACAAAGUGAGUUCCAGGACAGCCAGAGCUACACACAGAAACCCUGUCUCGAAAAGAAAAAAAAAAAUUCAGAUGUUCAUAGCACUGACUAAAAUGGAUAUAAUUAUUUAAUACUCAGUUUCUCAUAAUUCACUCACACAUAAAGAGUAUAACAAAAAUGAAAUACUAAAGAUAAAAACAAAAACCUUGCCGUAUUAGAAAGGGAAAACAAAUAAAAACUUUCCCCAGUGAGACUCAUUAAGAGCUUAAUGAGUAUACUCACCUAGUAGAAUCCGCAGAAGGUUGUGAGAGAUUGUAUUGGAAAUAGUUGAUUUAGAAUUUGUUCAAACACAAGAAAUGCACUGCCGCCUCCUCUGUCCUAAGGUAGAAGGGAGGAUUGUGUACUCCGUCAGCUCUCCCUCAGGUACUUUAUCAUGUGUGCAGGAGCAUGUAAUUUAUUUUUAUCUUUAUUCUAUACGUGUUUUUACAAAAGCAAUGAUACAGCGCAGCGAGAUGGGUGUGGGACAGAGGAUACUCUCGUCUGCAUCCAAGCAGCGUUCCCCAGGGGCAGCUGAUGCUCAUUUCCUCUUUUUGAGUACUUUGUUGCAUGGGUUGUUGCAGGAGCCUUUUCCAGUGGUCUGUAGCUGUUCCCUGUGUAACAAAUAAUGUCUGCCAUGUAUGUUGUCUUCACUUUUUAAAAGUAUCUCUCAAUAAAUAAGAUUUAAAUGUUUUAAUGUA